UACGUAGGUGGCAAGCGUUGUUCGGAAUUACUGGGCGUAAAGCGCGCGUAGGCGGCUCUUCAAGUCAGGCGUGAAAGCCCCGGGCUUAACUCGGGAACUGCGCUUGAUACUGUCGAGCUAGAGUGUGGAAGGGGCGAUUGGAAUUCCGUGUGUAGCGGUGAAAUGCGUAGAUAUCGGAAGGAACACCGGUGGCGAAAGCGGCGCGCUGGACCUCUUCUGACGCUGAGGCGCGAAAGCCAGGGGAGCGAACGGG
rnacentral:rRNA from 1 species